UGAGAAGAACAGAGUUAAAGAAUAUAGUCCCAUGGGAAAAGAAGCCCAUCAUUGACUGAUAAACCAAGGAGAUUCUAUUUGCUUUACAGAAGGAGCUACUGAAAGGCUAGCUGUGGUUUAUAAAUCUUUUAGUCUUAUCCUGACAUAGUAGCAGCACUUGAAUGCUGACCUUGAAAUAAAAAGCACUGUGCUCUGUGUGGAAUUCAAGUAGAGAUAUUUCCAUAUAACCUGAUGUUACUUAUAUAUUUUGUCUAUUUUAACCAGCGAGAAAGAAUGAGAGAGAAAGCAUUAAUAAGAGCUAUGUAGAAGAGGUGGCAUAGAGCCUGAAAGGACUUGGAAGGAUGAUUCUAAUUGCAAACAGUUCAAAUAAAGAUAUUUUGGCAAAUCUG
ensembl:lncRNA novel transcript